rnacentral:rRNA from 1 species
UACGGGGGGGGCAAGCGUUGUUCGGAAUUACUGGGCGUAAAGGGCUCGUAGGCGGCCAACUAAGUCGGAUGUGAAAUCCCCAGGCUCAACUUGGGAACUGCAUCCGAUACUGGAUGGCUUGAAUUCGGGAGAGGGAUGCAGAAUUCCAGGUGUAGCGGUGAAAUGCGCAGAUAUCAGGAAGAACACCCGUGGCGAAAGCGGCUCUCUGGAACGGUACUGACGCUGAGACGCGAAAGCGUGGGGAGCGAACAGG